UGAUGAUGAUGAUGAUGAUGAUGAUGAUGAUGAUGAUGAUGAUGAUGAUGAUGAUGAUCAUGAUCAUGAUCAUGAUCAUGAUCAUGAUCAUGAUCC
rnacentral:pre_miRNA from 1 species